CAUCCUACCAACUUGGCCCAAAGGCUGAGGAGCCCCACAAAGAGGAAGAUGCCCAGUGGCUUCAUGGUGGUGUCUCUGGAGGUUCUUGUGUCUUCCUGCAACUCUUUGCACAAGAAAAACCUGAGAUUGCUGGAAAGAGUGGAAUUCUCCCCUUGCUCAAGAGCCAGCUGCAGAGACAGUUUAAAUUUGUCUGCCACCUGCUCCACUCUCUGUUGAGAGGAUGCUGCCGCCUCCAGCUUGUGUCUGAUCAGCUCAGGCUCAACAUUAAAUACAUGCACACUGCUGGCCCUCUCUGCUCUGACAGCACCCUGCUUACCCUCUUCUACCCCAUGAGGUUCUGAGGCUGGCAAUGCUUAGUGCCCUGGGGCAGGGUGGGAUGGACAGUUAGUCAGCCCAGUGGCAUAUCUACCAGUCUCAGUGCUGCACUCAGGGGCCCUGGGACAAGGACUCAGCUCAUUACUCAGGCCUCUUCAGCUCAUCUUUGAGUUGUGCUCUUGCUGAACAUGUGAAAAGUUGCACUUGGGGAGGGAGGGAGUGGGGCUGAGCUUGCUCACUACAUUUUCAGAGGGCACCCAAGCAAUCCCAGACCAAUGCAGGCUGCUCUUCCCCUGCUCCAUCCGAAACCCUGGCUAAAGAGCGCCCAACAAUAGUCUGUUAUGGAUCCUGAGCUCAGUGGGGGCUGAGACGCAGCAUCAGCUGGAGAAUUCCUGCCCAGGAGACAACAGAGCUCCCAGCAGGGAGAAUUGGAACCUACUGGAGAUUUUUCAGUCACACCAUUCCCAGCUGGGAGUGUGCUGUCAGGAUCCGCCUGAUGCCCAAGCUGGGGAAGGAGAGAGAGUCUGGGAAGAGGAGUGGGGAGGAACCUGCAAACAGAAACAGGCACAAAUCACCUGACCCACAAAGCUGCUGCGUGAGCCAGUGUCUUUAUGUGCUACAAUGGCCAAAGCCCCAUUACACAGAGUGAGAGAGAAAAGGAAUAAAGAGAUCCCUGCUGCCACCCAGCACCAACUAAAGAGUUCCCCUAAUCCCUGAGCCCUAGGAAAGGGAUUGCGAAUCAGACUGCUAAAGAGCAGCCCUGCAGGAGGCCUUCCCCUGUUCUCUCUGAGCUGCCUGGGUAGGGUCAGAGCCUACAGGCAAUACCCUGGAGAGAGAGUGUGUGUGACAGAUGCUGAAGGAGGGAGGUGGAGAGUGUGAGAUGGCCCCCACAAGGUCGCAGAUCAGAGAACCGCCCCACCCUCAGCUCCUCCAAAAUGUCUGGCACCUCUCCCCAUGCCCAUUAGGGAGCCUAGAUCACCGUGUCUCUGAGCUGGCCUUGUGCAGGGUGAUUUCUGAGGGCUGGCCCGUGGACCCCGGCAAAGCUGACCUCCUUGAGUUGGUGUCAUGGCUGCUCCUGGGGACACCUCCAGCCCAUCUGUGAAGCAGGAAGUUAUGCUAGAGAAAGGGAAAUUGAUCUGAGGGGCCAAAUGGAAAUCCUGCUUUGUACAAACCCAGCCCCUGGUACAGCCCCAACCAAUGCCCCCCAGGCUGGUUCCCCACC